GUCCUUUCGGGCACAUUCGAUAAAAUUGGAAUCAUACAAAAAAGAUUAGCAUGACCACUGCGCACGGAUGAGACACACAAAUUCGAGAAAUAGUCCAAUUUUUU
rfam:Brassica napus, WGS project CCCW01000000 data, contig: 13426